AAGAUGCGUAACAGCCAUAC
rnacentral:piRNA from 1 species